UUAUCACCUAAUUGUUUUUAGUCAAGAUCAGUUGCUCCACUAGCUUUCCUACUGAAUAAGUUUAGCUUUAUUAUUUGGUAGGGUAAAACAUUUGUUAGCCAAAUAUCUCUAACACAGCAAUGUAUUUAUUUCUGUACUGUAUGCUUACUUUAAAUGCCAUUUGCUUUUAUUUCUCUGCGUUUGUUAAUUGAAUAUUUAGCUUUUUGGUGUUUUGAUCCAAAUUGUUUUAACUGUGGUAGUUAUCUUAUGGUAAAAUAAUCUCUGGAUGUUUUACAAUAUUUGAAGUCACUUUUUGCUAGAAAAAGGUUGUAAUCAUGUGAUUUGCCAUUACAAGCAUACUGUCUCAUUGUGUCAUACAAAUUGUCCCUAUAUCUAAGCAUUAAAUGCUUCAUACAUUGUAAUAAUAUACUAUAAAUAUUGUAUAUUUGUAUAUUAGAUAAGAAACUUGUCAUACCAGUGUAAUAUAGUCUCUCAAGUUUGGUUUACUCAUGUUUUAGACAAUGUUUUUUUGCAAGAUUUCAUUCUAAUGAACUUGAAGUAUGAUAAAUGAUAAAUUUAUUAUGGCUUGAUAAAUUAAAAAUUUUUAAUUCAUUAUUAAAGUAAAUUUCAAGUAAAAUCUGCAGAUGCUGAAUUUCUCUUUUUGUUUAUUUUGUAUUUUAGAUUAGUUUUAUAAACUGUGCAGGAAAAGUUAAGCUCUCUGUCUCACUAUCUUCUUUUGUUGAGGUUUGUUUUUAAGUGAGCUGACAACUGACACAUUUUCUUUAUAUUUAUAUAAUGUUAACUUUUAUUGUUUACUUAAUGUAAGAUACAAUUUAUUUAGCAAAUGACUAUUUUCAUGGGAAUCUUAUAAACACUGACUAAUGUUAUAUUUAAUCAAGUUUAUUCUAUAAUUAUGAUGUUUAAAUGUUUUAAUUAAUUACCAAGGACAUUUUAAUGAAAAUUGUCAUCAAUAAUCUAUUUAUAACAAAGAUAUUAACCUGAAACUACUCCAUGUUGAUACCAUUGCUUUUAUUAAUUUGUGCAGUGUGUUAGUUGUCAUCUAAAUUAUAAAUUAAACAUAACUUGAUUAUUCAAUACUUCUCGAUCAAUCAGUCAAUCAAUCAAUCAGUCAGUUUUCAUUCAUAGAUAUACCAAUACAUUAUCAUGAUAUUAAAGUCUUCAUUUAUCCUGACAUCAUGCACUGAUCCACAGCUUUAAUUUCAUUGUUUUAAUCAUGUUAUUCGCUAUUUAAAAACAUAUUCAUCAUGUUGUAACAAUUUUAACACAACAGAUCAACUUUAUGAUGAAAAAAUCUGUGAGGUAGGCAGUCCAAACAAAGAAAGAUCUGUUAAUAUGAUAUUACUAAUUGAUUUUUGAGGCACAUAAUUUUUAACUUUAAAGAAUAAUCUUUGCUUUUUGUCUUUAAGUAAUGAAAGGUUAUCAUAGCAACAUGAUUUAUGAUGUAAUGUUCAUGUAUAUAAUGGUUAAAAGUUCAAAUUUGUAUAUAAUGAAUGAUUCUAAGAUUUCAGAUUUGCCCAACUUUAAUUCCCUUUUUAGUGCAUUUAUGUAAUGGACAUUUCCUUAUUUAAGUUUGGAAUUGUCCAUUAUUUAUCAUAGGGAUUUCAGUAUUGAAAUACUAAAUGUGACAUGUUAAAUGAUAUGUUGAAUAAAUCUAUCAUUUUAGUUAUUUCAUUGUACAUGUAUGUUAACCAUGUUGCUGUAAAGUAGUUACUGCUAUUUAUAUGUACAUUGCUUGUUUGGUGCUGCAUAAUAACCCUUGCUUGACAACAAUGCCAAUCAUUAUUUCCUAACUUAAUUCAUUUGUUAUGAAUACAUGUAUGUACUUUUAAUUUCAUUAUCAUCUGUAAUUAUGUUAUAUGUAUAUAUAUAGUUAAGUUUUGCUUAAGCAUUAAAACCAGGAGUGAAAAGAAUAAUUUCAUUUCUCACUGUUGCCUUGCUAAUUGUUAUGAUAUUAUUUGAAACUUGUAAGUUAACGUAUUGUGAUCAAUGGUUAAUUAUAAAGUCUAUAAAAAUA